ACACACAUACACGCACACACACACACACAGACACACACACAAAACCUCUACUGGACAGCAGGUAGCAAAUACAAUGGAGCACCUGAUGAGGAACUGGACAGCUACUGACAGCCAAUCAUAUGGUGCCAUGUUAGGGGGCGUGGCUUCCGCAGGACCAUGACAAAGCCGCACUCACAUGUCAAUAUGGCCUGAGGAGUUCUGGGAAAAGAACGAUUUCUUCCAGCAGGUUUUCAGGUGCACAGGUUCUGGCAGUCGCUGACAGACGAGGAGUUCAGAUAAGAAUCUCUUUUUAAAGAAAAAGAUAGAAUGUACUGUAACGUGGAGCGGCUCGCAUAACCAUUUAACACCAAUGCAGACAAUCAGCCUUUUCUACCACACCAAAACCAGAUUCUGUUUCAGUCCAUUUUCGCCUCACUCUUUAUGUAGGUCAUCUCUUGUGUGGAACAGGAUUAUACUUUCUCCAGCGGAGGACGAACAGGAUCAUGAUCUGGCAAAUAAUACAGCAACAAACAAAAGAGAGAGAGAGAGAGAGAGAGGGAGAGUAUGUAAAUCUGCCAUCGCUACACGGCUCGGGCCGUGCUCCAAACAAACUGCCGUUCCACGUUCCUUCUGGACCCCUGUAAACAGUUUUCCAGUAUUUUUUUUUUCAUUUGUUGUGGGAUUUUCAUCUUUGUGUUUUUUUUUGUGUGUGUGUGUGUGUGUGUGUGUGUGUGUGUGUGUAAGUGCCUUAAGGGUUGGAAAACUGUUUGUGUGUACAAUUUAUUUUUUCUUUACUUCCCACAGAGCUGUCUUUAAAGGCACGGAGAUGAAAGAUACACAAGUUUCCCAUUACCACGAAUGCAGUCGAUCAGCCAAGACAUGUUUGUUGCCUGAAGUUUACUUCUUUAGUUCUCGCACUGUAGCUACGAGGUGAAUGCUAGUUUAGCAUCAGCGACUCAAGCGGACGUGUUUGUGUGGUUUUUGGCGCUAUGAUAAAUGCUUAUCUGUAAAAAGAAAAGAAAAAAAAAAGAACACCACACAGCUGAAAACAAUCUACAGAAGUUUACAUUAGUCAGUGUGGAACUAAAAAAACAUGGGUCUUUGGUUAGCGGUUGAUGCUGAGGGACGUUACACUGUCAUUUUUAACUUUUCCAAGUAAUUUAUCAACACAUCUGAGGCAUAAAUGUUGUUAUUCCCAACAUUUGUGUCUCAUUUCCACUGCCAUUACACCUUUACAUUACCUGUAUAAAAGACUAUUAAUGGCUAUAUGCUAGCUAGAUAAAUGAUUCGUCUAGCUUCGUGCUCGUAUUUUCCGAGUUGCCUAGCAACACUGUUCUCACAACUUGAACACAGAACAUAUCAUGUGUUCUGCUGAAUUUCUAAAUGUACAGAUUAGAGAUUAGCUUUCACAAUGCUAAAUUGGCAGAACGUUUCGUCUUUUCAUAACAGCUAAGCUCAAAUCUACCACAGUUCACAAGUGGUGACACAUCCUAUUGGACUUCAGAACCCACGAAUAUUUGGCUAGCGGUUGAUGCUAAGUGACCUUACACUGCAAUUUUACUUAUACGUGGUCUUUUCUUAGUAAUUUAUCAACAUAUCUGAGGUAAAUGUUGAUAUUCCGGACAUUUGUGUCUCAUUUUUCACUCUCAUUACACCUUUAAAAUGAUUUAUUGGCUUAUAUGCUAGCUAAUUUAGAUAAAUGAUUAGCCUCAGUCACUAGCUAGCUUCUAUGCUUGGUGUGCAUGUUUCCCAGUUGCCGAGCAACAUUGUCUCACAAAUUGAACCACUUAAACAGUGAACAUAUUAUAUGCUUGAUGUUUUUUGACAGCUCCGAGUUCACAAGUUGCGACACAACGUUUACAGUUCUCUUUGUGGAGCUUCAAAAUUAGUGGUUGAUGCUAAUUAGUGUAAUAUUAGUAAUAUUGAGUCUUUUCUUGGUAAUUUACCAAAACAUCUGAGCUCCAGUGCAGAACUUAAGACAGUAAAACACGUCUUGGCUAAUCGACUACAUCUGGGAUAAACAGGGACAUUGUGUAAGUUUCAUUUUCGACCAAAUGUUUUCAGCUUUGUCACUUCACUGAGACACCGCUAAGAGCUUGCGUGUGGGAGCGAUGAAAAGCGCCGCAUUCUUCCAAAACAAUUCGCUCUUUCUCCUCCUCCUCCUCCUCCUCCUUCUUCUCUUCCACGGGCUCUCCGACGUUACAGCGAUUCUCGCAUUCUUCAGCUCUAUUAGAAUCAGUGCUGUUGUUCUUGUGUUAACUACAGUGCUGCCACCCGGAGUGUCAGGGUCACGACACAAAAUUCUGUCUAGUCAUGUUGAGUAUUCUGAAUAUGAGCAACAGGGUGAAAGACAGACAGCAAAACAUAUCAUGACUACAUCCAAAACGGCAUACUACUGUACUAAAUAAUGUCGCAAAAUGUGGUUUCUGCUAUUGUGAGUUGAGGGUACUGACCUUUUUUAUGCAAUGACAUUGUGCUGAAUGCCAUUUCGAUUAUUUAUUUUCCUGUAAACCGAACAGUUUGGAUAGCUUAAACCCAGCAGAACACCAAAAAUAGUAACAUCGAUAACACGAAUUCGAUUAUUUGCGUUAUGAAGUAACUUCCGCCAACAAUAAAAUAGUACAGCAAUUUUAUAGCAAUUUCUAAACAUUCUGAACUUAAGCUUGACGUCAUAACAAUAAAACGUAUUCUGAUUAAACUACAAAUACAAGUGAACACUAUAGAAAUUUAAAGUCUGGGACUUUACCCAACCUCGUCAUUUUGGUAAUCUUAUGAAAUUCGCGUUGGUUUCAGUUUGCAUGCUAAUAACGUUAGCAUUGACCAACCUGACAUGUCAUGAGUCGUAAGAUAAGGUACGGACGCUAACCCCGCCCCUAAACCUGACAUAAGUCGCCUGAAUUGUUACAAAUCGGCAAGUUGCUUUUGUUUCAUUGUUAUUCAUUAUUCUGUAUCACUUCCGCUGCCCAUUUUGGGCAACCCUGCUAGCAACCUAGCAAAGCCACGACGUAGCUUUCCCGUUUGUUGGAAAUGGCUACGUCCAAAAACACAUCAUGCGUGUGAAAAUAUUCCAGAAAGCUAUCAAUAGUUCAAUGCACUUAAAUGUACUUAAACAUAGUACUUUAUAUAGUACUGAGGCUGAAUUUGGCCUACCGUGCAUACUUAAAACCAAACCUCAUAAAGAACAUAAAGCCCUUACGGAUAUAUUCAUACGAAUUUUAACUAAUCGACCAAGAAUUCAAACAGUAGCAAACUAAUUCGACUUUACCUUGGCAAUUAGCAGUAGAAAAAGAUUCAGGUUGUUUUAUUAUUGCAGUUAAACCCUGAUCAACAGCAGCAAAGAAUGUGUUACAUCGCACUUUAGUUAACAGCCACACACAGGCUGCAGAUUACAUUACAUCUUUAAUAACCUAACCCUAACCUUAACACUAAACCUAGGCUAUGCCGUUAAAGACGAACAUAUGUAGGAUAUUACACUGUUUUAAAACUAAUAGACACUUAAACAUGGAACUGAACUAUAAAAGUGAUAUGAUAUGAACGUCAUAACAUUCCAUUAAACCAAAAAUAAAUAAACAAAUAGACUUUUCCCAGCGUUGUCCCACUAUAUUCCACUAUAAUUCAGCCACCAUUUUAGACAGAUGAGAGACACUGUGCGUUUAAUUUCUUUCUUUCUUUUUUUUUUUUUUUUUGCUUGAAUUGUUUCUCAAUGCACCACUUUGUGUGUACUGAAAAAUUCUCAACACGCUUACAGCGAUACCUCUCUGAAAACGCCCGAUCCCGUCUGAUCUCGGGUCGGGUUACUACUUGGACUGGGGAACGCUCGGUUCGGUAUGUGUGUGAACGUUCUGUUUAUUUCUACCAACGUUGCAUUUUUGGUUAUGUUUGAUAUUAAUUUGUCAGGAACUGUCUUCCAACUGAAACUGUACUGUAAUUUCUUUGUCAUUUUUCUAAGAGAACUAAGUGUGUGCUGAUAUUACACAUCCCACCCGUGCUCAUUAGGGAAGGUUAUGCGUUUUACGUCGUAGAGGUUGCGUAACGUUUUGCGGAACUCUGUGAGAAACUCGUGUUCGGUUAAUACGCAACGUGUGUACUAGAAACGCUGAGGAAUCAAGUGUGGAACGAUGGACAUUUUUAGCGUUAAAAAAAUAAUUUUGGGUUGUAAAACAGGUCGUUCCUGAGGGGAGGAGGUACCACGUGCCGAUCUGUUAUUUCCGUUUAGCUAAUCUUUUAGCGUUUGAUUUUAGCCGUUAGUGCCAUGCGAGUAUCCAGAUAUGAAGUGUACAGUGUUAUAUAGGGCAAAAUUCGAGAAUAAAUUUCUAUUUGGCAAAAAAAAAAAAGAAGAAUUAAGAUAAUAAACACUGUAUGAGUUGCUCAUAUUCACAAGGGGGAGCUUUUGAAGCAGUUCUGAUGUCUGAAAUAUCCAAAGUUUUGACUUGUUCCUUAUCUAUAUUCUUUCAUAAUGUUGGUGGUGAUCUCAGGGGUCGCUGCUAGGUACGUUUUUAUUCUUCUGAUUAGGCUUACCAUUGUUUCGCUGUUGGUCAAAUUGUACACGUUUUCACACUAUUUAAAUAUUAAUAAGACCCCAAAAGCUACUUAGCAUUAGGUUAGUUAAGUAGCUAACAUUAGCUGUGCACUUGAAAAGAAAGACUUCGUGAUGAGCGUCGGUGAUUUGAGUGCACGCUUUAAAUUUGUCCGAAAUUUACGACAGACUUGAUCUCAGGUUACCCCCCAAAAAAUCGAAUCAUUCCUCAUCAAUUAUCAGCACGUACCUAGAACACUCAUCCACUUCCAGGAUGAAACACUUAACACGACGACGUUUCGAUUUGCGCAGCACUUAUUUGACGUGUCACUUUUUCAGCACUCAGACUCUGUGGGAUAUUUUUUUGCUUUCUUCCUGUGGGAUUUACUCCAUCUGUGACUGAUCGAGAUGUUAGUUGCGGUUUUUGACCUCAAACUGUACAUUUACAUUCUUUUCAGCUUUGUUUGUUCCAGUUUUUCUAAAGAUAAGCCCCCGUCAUAUGACCGUUCCAUUUGAAACGUCCUGAGGAAACAGAAUGCGAAAUAGCCCAGACCAUAAUAGUGAAUGGCGAGAUGAAAAAGGGCCUUGUGUGCGACCUCAGCCUUCCAGUAAAGACCCGCUCUUCCUGCUCAGAUCUCCCAGACGAGCGAACGCCGCAGUCCCGCCUGUCAUAAUUACCGCAUGAAUAAAUCCGAGUCAUGGAGAAACUCAUGCAUACAAAAACUCGGUGGGGGAGAGAGAGCGAGAGAGGAACACACACUAACAACCUCAACCCUAAAACCAGAAAUGACAGCUCCAAUUCAUCAAGGUCACAUUAACGCCGGACGAUAGCGUCCUGCACCAUCCUGCCUCCACACCGCUUCAUCACAACACAACACUCCCACGCAGCAGAUCCGGAACUUUCAGGGACGUUGGGGGAGGGGGGGGGGUGUCAUUGUCGUUCAAUUGUAAAUAGUGAGAUUUUAAUUUAUACAGUAAGUUAUUUUGGACUUUAAAAUUGGACAUAAUCUAUCUUUUGUAUAAGUGAAGUACGUUUCUAGUUUUUAUUUAACGUGUUCUGACUGCCAAAUAAAUAUGCAUGUUUCUUAUAAGUGCCUGUCAUCUCUGGUUUGUCCUCUGUGUCCAGAAUUUAUUUACCAAAAUGGAGAGAGAGAGAGAGAGAGAGAGAUUUAAAAUGCAAGGUACAGCGUGUCCUUCCGGAGAGAGUUUUAUCGUUCGGAUGCCUCGUAUGAGACUGAUGCAUGCAAGGCCACGCCUCUUUUACUAGGCAUCAGUCCAAAAGACCACACCUCAGUCAGUGGCACUGACAGGCACAGAGGCCACGCCUCCUUCACUAGGUUCAGAGGACAUACCUCUCUAAAUUAUGACUGUAGGUACAGCGGACAUGCGUCCUUCACUAGGACUGACAGGUACAGAGGACACACCUCCUUCACUACGACUGACAGGUACAGAGGACACGCCUCCUUCACUAAGACUGGCAGGUACAGAGGACACACCUCCUUCAAUCGGACGGACAGAUACAGAGGACACACCUCCUUCACUAGGACGGACACAUACAGAGGACACGCCUCCUUCACUAGGACGGACAGAUACAGAGGACACACCUUCACUAAGACUGACAGGUACAGAGGACAAACCUCCUUCAAUAGGACAGACAGAUACAGAGGACACACCUCCUUCACUAAGACUGACAGAUACAGAGGACACACCUCCUUCACUAGGACAGACAGAUACA